CUGGCUUUCGUAGUCUCUGGGGAGA
rnacentral:piRNA from 1 species